UGACAGGCUACUCAGGUCAAGACGAACAUAUUGCGCUUUUCUGGUUAUAAAUGGCAAGGAGAUGAGGAAAAGGCAAAAUUGAAAGUAAAAGAGAAGCUUGACAAAAACAACAAAGAUAAAUUGCUGGAGUUUUGUGAAAUAUUUGACAUAUCAGUUGCUAAGGCUACAGCUAAGAAGG